CACAUGCAAGUCGAGCGGAAACGAGUUAUCUGAACCUUCGGGGGACGAUAACGGCGUCGAGCGGCGGACGGGUGAGUAAUGCCUAGGAAAUUGCCCUGAUGUGGGGGAUAACCAUUGGAAACGAUGGCUAAUACCGCAUGAUGCCUACGGGCCAAAGAGGGGGACCUUCGGGCCUCUCGCGUCAGGAUAUGCCUAGGUGGGAUUAGCUAGUUGGUGAGGUAAGGGCUCACCAAGGCGACGAUCCCUAGCUGGUCUGAGAGGAUGAUCAGCCACACUGGAACUGAGACACGGUCCAGACUCCUACGGGAGGCAGCAGUGGGGAAUAUUGCACAAUGGGCGCAAGCCUGAUGCAGCCAUGCCGCGUGUGUGAAGAAGGCCUUCGGGUUGUAAAGCACUUUCAGUCGUGAGGAAGGUAGUGUAGUUAAUAGCUGCAUUAUUUGACGUUAGCGACAGAAGAAGCACCGGCUAACUCCGUGCCAGCAGCCGCGGUAAUACGGAGGGUGCGAGCGUUAAUCGGAAUUACUGGGCGUAAAGCGCAUGCAGGUGGUUUGUUAAGUCAGAUGUGAAAGCCCGGGGCUCAACCUCGGAAUAGCAUUUGAAACUGGCAGACUAGAGUACUGUAGAGGGGGGUAGAAUUUCAGGUGUAGCGGUGAAAUGCGUAGAGAUCUGAAGGAAUACCGGUGGCGAAGGCGG
rnacentral:rRNA from 1 species